CCUGGGGCUGCAGCCCAAGGCUCCCCAGCAGAAGCGCUGCCAUCCUAACCCCCUCCUGAGCAGAGGAUUCAAGGCACCCGCAGAAAAGAGGUCAACUCAUUGCUUGCUUCAGCUGGGAAUCUGUUAUGUGUAUUUCUGUUAAGCAAGCAUACCGGGACAAGAGCAUCGUGGUUUAAAAUCUCCUUGAAGGAAAUACAUCAGCUGCCCCAGACUGAGAAGCCCAGAGAUCCAGGAGGGGCCAUGGGUCACCUGCUCUGGCCGUGGGCUGGCAAAGCCAGGCAAAGCGGGGUUCUGGGUCAGCCCUGGCUCACGGUGACAAGGGGGAAAGCAGUGUUCUACAGCUUAAGAAAAUUUUAUAUCUAUUGCAAAUGAAAAGUGUGGCCUCCCUCAUCAGUAAGAAAAGGCUACUGCCGCCAUCAAGCCACUGUAAGCCACCCCUCGCCAACAACGAGCCCUGAGAGGACUCACAAUGAGAAAGCACCGGCCAGUGGCCCCAGAUGGCCAAAGUGCAUAUGGAAGGAAUGAUGUCAACAAGCCCAGACUCUUGCAUCUUCACAUAGACAGAAAAGUGUUAAAUUCAUUGGCUUGAGAUGUCUGGUUUUCUUUUAAUUAACAGUAAUCUUUUGAUGUUCCCACCACUCGAUCUCUCAUGCAAAAGCCCCUGUAUAACCCGGCUCUUCCCUCGCCUCUUUGAAGCAGUCCAUCUGAGCAAUCUGAGAAGCUGCGUCCAUUAAGCCCCAGUUUUGUCCUGCCAAAUAAAACAUAAUUCCCAACUUUUAGGCUGUGUUUUCUUUUCUGUUGACACUAUCUGUCCAUCUU
rnacentral:lncRNA from 1 species